AAAACAACUUUCAGCGAUGGAUAUCUUGGCUCUCGCAACGAUGAAGAACGCAGCGAAAUGCGAUACGUAAUGCGAAUUGCAGAAUUCAGUGAAUCAUCAAAACUUUGAACGCAAAUUGCGCUUCCGGGUAUCCCUGGGAGCAUGCCUGUAUGAGUGUCUGUUG
rnacentral:rRNA from 1 species